UCUGGCUCCUGAGCAGCUGCCAGUUUAAUCUUUGGAAGAGGAGACCAGAAUCUGUCUCCACAGGAGGGUGAGGAGUGACAGCACUUGUGCCUUCUGCACUGGUGUGACAGCGAAGCUCCAGGUGAAGCACCAGGCGAGCAGAAAGCUGCACCCACGCUGACAGACACACCACUGGAGGGGAGACGGAGCAAGCUCUCCUGCUUUGGGAUGUCAGCCUAGGUCUACUCUGAGAUCAGCUGCAGGGCAACACAGAAAACUGCUCUGACAGGGCAGCUAAACCAACUCUAUCCCCCAAGGAAGCCACAGCCAAGUCCCCAAAAUCCAGAGAUCCCAAGAGACAGGGCAAUAGUAACUGCCUAUCUUGCAUCCCUACCUACACAACACAAACCUGAACUACCACAGCCCCAGAUUCUGCAGCCGCAGCGAUGCCUCAGAAGGCAAUGAAGGCAAUCACUGCACUUGCAGCAGAAACUUGGCUGUGCAGCAUUUCCAGCUUCACUUAAUAAUCAGCACAGGUGGGAAUAACGGAGCACGUGGGAUGGCAAAGCUCAGGAGGAGACAAAGGGACUUUGGAAUACAGCACAGUGCCCACAGAGGAACAUCCUUUGGAGAACUGAUGGGCUCAGUCUGGAUUUAAAGCCUCACUGCCCUAGUGACUCCUCGAUAAAUAAGAAAAUGCCAGGCUUUUAAUUUAGAAAGGUGAAGUUCAGGGCAAGACAGUUUGUCCCCCCGCUGCGAUUUUCCUAAGUUCAGGACUAAUUUGGUUAAGGAUGUCUCUGUUUCUGCAUGCCUUUGAUUGGCACAAAGGAGGAGAAAGAAGACCCCAUU